UCCAUUCCGACAUUUACGGCACACGCAUACGCUAUCGCGUCGUACUUGGAUCGCGUUCCUAUCCAGUAUAACAGUAGGGCAUACAAUUAUCAAGGUGAUCCGUAUUUAUCGCGAACCGUCAAUUUUCACGUGGGAUAUUAAGCGGAUUAGAUUUUUGCGGGUUUUUUCUCUCGUUCGUUACGGAAUCGGCUGUGAGUACACUACUCGCUACUUUUCUCAAACGAGUGUAGCUAUCGACGUAACGGAUUCUGAGCGACGACGACAUUGGCACUUAGUAACGUAAAGAGGCCAAGCUGCGCGGGUGUAUAAAAGAAUCAGGGUGUAUACAUGCUCGAUCUGAUGGGAAAUUUU